UAGGGAAUCUUCCGCAAUGGACGAAAGUCUGACGGAGCAACGCCGCGUGAGCGAAGAAGGCCUUCGGGUCGUAAAGCUCUGUUGUUAGGGAAGAACAAGUACCAGAGUAACUGCUGGUACCUUGACGGUACCUAACCAGAAAGCCMCGGCUAAMUACGUGCCAGCAGCCGCGGUAAUACGUAGGUGGCAAGCGUUGUCCGGAAUUAUUGGGCGUAAAGCGCGCGCAGGUGGUUCCUUAAGUCUGAUGUGAAAGCCCACGGCUCWACCSUGGAGGGUCAYUGGAAACUGGGGAACUUGAGUGCAGAAGAGGAAAGUGGAAUUCCACGUGUAGCGSUGAAAUGCGUAGAGAUGUGGAGGAACACCAGUGGCGAAGGCGACUUUCUGGUCUGCAACUGACACUGAGGCGCGAAAGCGUGGGGAGCGAACAGGAUUAGAUACCCYGGUAGUCCACGCCGUAAACGAUGAGUGCUAAGUGUUAGAGGGUUUCCGCCCUUYAGUGCUGCAGCUAACGCAUAAGCAUCCGC
rnacentral:rRNA from 1 species